CCUACGGGCGGCAGCAGUAGGGAAUCUUGCACAAUGGGCGAAAGCCUGAUGGAGCAACGCCGCGUGCAGGAUGAAGGCCUUCGGGUUGUAAACUGCUUUUAUAAGCGAGAAAUAUGAUGGUAACUUAUGAAUAAGGAUCGGCUAACUACGUGCCAGCAGCCGCGGUCAUACGUAGGAUCCGAGCAUUAUCCGGAGUGACUGGGUGUAAAGAGUUGCGUAGGUGGCAUAAUAAGUAGAUAGUGAAAUCUGGUGGCUCAACCAUUCAGACUAUUUGCUAAACUGUUAAGCGCGAGACCGUUAGGGGUAACUGGAAUUUUUAGUGUAGGAGUGAAAUCCGUAGAUAUUAGGAAGAACACUGAUAGCGUAGGCAGGUUACUGGGACGGUUCUGACACUGAUGCACGAAAGCGUGGGGAGCAAACGGGAUUAGAUACCCCUGUAGUC
rnacentral:rRNA from 1 species